rnacentral:rRNA from 1 species
CGUCUAUAUACGUAUAGCAUAUCAAUAAGCGGAGGAAAAGAAACUAACAAGGAUUCCCUUAGUAACGGCGAGUGAAGCGGGAAGAGCUCAAAUUUGAAAUCUUCAAGGUUCUACCUUGACGAAUUGUAGUUUAAAGAAGUGUUUUCUGUUAGAGGAGUUUAGUAAAAGUUCCUUGGAAUAGGGACAUCAUAGAGGGUGAGAAUCCCGUAUUUGACCAUUAUUUUCUAGCUGUGUGAUACACUUUCAAAGAGUCGGAUUGUUUGGGAAUGCAGUCCAAAAUGGGUGGUAAAUUUCAUCUAAAGCUAAAUAUUGGCGAGAGACCGAUAGCGAACAAGUACCGUGAGGGAAAGAUGAAAAGAACUUUGAGAAAGAGAGUUAAACAGUACGUGAAAUUGUCAAAAGGGAAGCGUUUGACACCAGUGUUGUUUUUCCGAAAAUCAAUGUAGAAUGGCUUGAUUUUGUAGGUAGUAUUGACCUUAUCAGCUUCUUCACUGCUUUUUUCCGAGUCUGGUGCUUAAUGCACUUUUCGGUUAACAAGUCAACAUCAAUUUCUUUUGUUGUAAAAGGGUAUUUGGAAGGUGGCUUUCUUUUCGGAGAAAGUGUUUAUAGCCUUAUACCUCUACAAUCGGAGAGAUUGAGGUCUGCAGCGUAGAUCCUUCGGGGCUAGAUACACUUGUGCUAAGUUAUAGCUUUUCAUAGACAACUUGUUGACUAUGUUUAGUCAUGUAGCUUACCCGCUUGUGCUAUUUUACCUACGCUUAGGAUGUUGAGUCAUCACACAUCUCU